UACGUAGGGGGCAAGCGUUAUCCGGAUUUACUGGGUGUAAAGGGAGCGUAGACGGCAGGGCAAGUCUGGAGUGAAAGGCAGGGGCCCAACCCCUGGACUGCUCUGGAAACUGUCCGGCUGGAGUGCAGGAGAGGUAAGUGGAAUUCCUAGUGUAGCGGUGUAAUGCGUAGAUAUUAGGAGGAACACCAGAGGCGAAGGCGGCUUACUGGACUGUAACUGACGUUGAGGCUCGAAAGCGUGGGGAGCAAACAGG
rnacentral:rRNA from 1 species